AUACGGAGGGUGCAAGCGUUAUUCGGAAUCACUGGGCGUAAAGGGUGCGUAGGCGGUUUGGUAAGUCUGAUGUGAAAUCCUAUGGCUCAACCAUAGAACUGCAUUGGAAACUGCUAAACUAGAAUACUGAAGGGGCAGAUGGAAUUAGUGGUGUAGGGGUAAAAUCCGUAGAUAUCACUAGGAAUACCGAAAGCGAAAGCGAUCUGCUGGGAAGUUAUUGACGCUGAGGCACGAAAGCGUGGGGAGCAAACGGAAUUAGAUACCCCAGUAGUCC
rnacentral:rRNA from 1 species